rnacentral:tRNA from 1 species
AGUGGGGUGCCUGAGUAAAGGGCUAUCUUGAUAAGAUAGAUCAUGUAUAAUUACCCCCACUA